CUAAGUAUAACCUGCCAGACAGGGAAACUGCGUACGGCUCAUUACACCAGCCUUAAUUUACUUGACCUUGACAACCUACUUGGAUAACUGUGGUAAUUCUAGAGCUAAUACAUGCACCAAAGCUCCGAUCCUCGCGGAGAGGAGCGCAUUUGUUCGCCACAAAACCAAGCGCCCAUCUGGGCGUCCAGUGCUGAACCAGAACAACUCAGCUGAUCGCACGGUCUUGUACCGGCGACGUGUCUUUCAAGUGUCUGCCUUAUCAACUUUCGAUGGUAGUGUACCUGACUACCAUGGUUGUGACGGGUAACGGAGGAUAAGGGUUCGACUCCGGAGAAGGGGCCUGAGAAAUGGCCACUACGUCUAAGGAUGGCAGCAGGCGCGCAAAUUACCCACUCUCAACGCGAGGAGGUAGUGACGAGAAAUAACGAGACCGUUCUCAUACGAGGCCGGUUAUUGGAAUGGGUACAAUUUAAA
rnacentral:rRNA from 1 species